rnacentral:SRP_RNA from 1 species
CCCCUCCCGACUUUAUAAGUGGAAGGCAGCCCUUAUUAAGGGGUGUUGAUAACAAGGUCUUAUGCAACUUUCCGCCGCGAACCGUGUCAGGAUAGGGAUAUAGCAGCACUAAACGGAGAGGCGAGUGUGCCAUAAGGUCGCUUUGUUGGAGCUACCUAAUAAGGUAACGCUUCGGCUUAUAUUGGCAAAAGGGGCUGCACGG